rnacentral:rRNA from 1 species
CCUACGGGUGGUAGCAGUGAGGAAUAUUGGUCAAUGGACGGAAGUCUGAACCAGCCAUGCCGCGUGAAGGAAGACGGUUCCAUGCGUUGUAAACUGCUUUUGUCCAAGGGUAAACCUGAAUACGUGUAUUCAGCCGAAAGUACUGUACGAAUAAGGAUCGGCUAACUCCGUGCCAGCAGCCGCGGUAAUACGGAGGAUCCAAGCGUUAUCCGGAUUUAUUGGGUUUAAAGGGUGCGUAGGCGGAUUGAUAAGUUAGAGGUGAAAUGUCCGGGCUUAACUCGGGAACUGCCUCUAACACUGUUGAUCUAGAGAGGAGGAGCGGUAGGCGGAAUGUAUGGUGUAGCGGUGAAAUGCUUAGAUAU